rnacentral:rRNA from 1 species
UACGGGGGGGGCAAGCGUUGUUCGGAAUUACUGGGCGUAAAGGGCUCGUAGGUGGCCAACUAAGUCGGACGUGAAAUCCCUCGGCUUAACCGGGGAACUGCAUCCGAUACUGGAUGGCUUGAGUUCGGGAGAGGGAUGCGGAAUUCCAGGUGUAGCGGUGAAAUGCGUAGAUAUCUGGAGGAAUACCGGUGGCGAAGGCGGCAUCCUGGACCAUAACUGACGCUGAGGCGCGAAAGCUAGGGGAGCAAACGGG